rnacentral:misc_RNA from 1 species
GAGAGAGAGAGAGAGAGAGUUGUGGGCAAUUAAUGACCAUAAAUGAUAGAACUGGCAAAACUCAGAGGGUCCCCAAAAACUUUUAAAACGGACAGAUUGCCUGCUGGAGCUAAAACCAUGGAAUCAAUGGACUGUAGAAGAGGAUUUCCAAGAUACCCAACAAGCAUUUCUCAUUAUCAUGGGAUAAUAAAAAUAUUUUGAAGGUCUAAAAUGGGAUUUUAAAGGGUAGAGAUUCAUUUUAAUCUGGGUUUCAAAGUUGAAAUAUGUUUUUGCAUAAGGUAACCUCUCUUUGGUUGGUAGAGACAUUUCGCCCGCCGAACGAAGCAUGCAGGGCCUGGGUUACAGCACCCACUCCACAGUCCACACCAAACUAAAUAUGCCUGAAAUCCAUGCAUGUGGAAGCAUCUCCAAAUUAUUUCAACUCUUUUCUAGUCAAAAAG